UGUAGUACGUGAGGACGUGCGGCGACCAGGAAGUCGGAGUACUGGGACCAGAGGGGAAGAAUAAAGGCGACGUUAAAAGGCUGGGAAACGAAGCGAGCGAAAACGCUGUCCCGGACAUAAACUACAAAUCCCAGAGUGCCUCGCGCUGGGGGCUGUCCGAGGACUGCUCCAGGCAUUUUAGGGCUCUUCUGUUGGCUCGGCCUGAGCUGCUGCUCCGCCUCCGUCCAGCCCGAGAGCGGUUUCUUCAACUGCGGCUCAGGCAGCGCUCUGGCUCCGCAUGGUGUCCGAGCCGGCAGGUCUCUCCGCCCCUGUGUUAGUCCGAACGGCUGGCCCGCGGACACCAACCGCCGCCCCGCGCCGAGGGCCGGAGUCGCGCAGGCAGGCCUCGGGCGGGGAGGAGCGGGAGGUGCUUUCUGCUGGGCCCUUCGGGCUUCCCUAGGGCCGGCCGCGUCCUUCGGGCGCGUUUCUCCGCAAGGAGGUGUCCUAGCUUCGGUAGCCGGCUUUAAAGGUUUCCAUGAUCUCAUUGGUAAGGGUAAGAAGAGUAGUCCGCCAUUAAAAUGACUCAUUGAGUCGGCGUAAGGUUCAGUGGUAAUGCCCUCCACCCCUUAUUGACUUAUUAGAGUGGAAAAAACCUGUGGGCAGAGACGUGCCAGACUUCGGGUUGUGCCGAUGGGUGGGCGGGGAAGGAAGUCUAUGGGCACGGGAAGCCACGUGCGGGCUGGCUCUCGCCCUGCCGUUCGUUUCCCCCCAGCUCACAGGACUCUUCCCACCGCCUCCCCGCAGCCAUCUCUAGGAGAACGUGGUGGAGGUCAUGCCCCUCUUGUAGCUUAACGAAGGGUGGGGACGGGGAUGGGUUUUCUCCUUUUGAAUCUGUUUCUCUGGAGAACCCUGACUGAUACAUAUCCCAAAUGUCCUUAAGCUUCGGAGUGGAUAAACAAACGGGUACAUAAUCCAGACAAUGGAAUAACACUUAGCAAUGAAAAGGAAUGAAACAGGCAUGCAACGCAGGAAUGAAUCUCAAAUGCAUUAUGCUACAUGAAAGGAGCCAGGUUCAGAUGGCUAUAUACUGCAUGACUCCAUUUAUAUAAAAUUCUGAAAGAGGCAAAACUGUAGGGAUGGAAAAUAGAUCAAUAGUUGCCAGAGGCUGAGGACUGAAGGAAGAGAUGACUAUGGUGUGGGGAUAUUUUGUGUGCUGAGAACUUUUAUAGCUUGAUUUUGUGAGUUACAUGGCUGUAAAUUAUACCUUCAUAAAAAUACUCUAAAAAAUAAAUAGGAGCCCCGCGGUGUGGCUCAGGGGUUGAGCACUGACCUAUGCACCAGGGGGUUGCCUGUUUGAGUCCUCGGUCAGGGCACAUAUGGUCGUGUGAGGGAGCCCAGUUUCACUUGCUUGAGGAUGAAAGAGACAGCGAGGCCAAGCCAUCCAGAUGUCCCAGCUGACCUUCCAACUGAAGACUGCAGCAUGGACGAGCCCCGAUGAGAAGACUGAGGCUCAUGAGAUUGAAAUAUGCCAAAGGUCACUGCUAAUAAGGGCCCCAGGCUGGCUCCAGAGCCCUUGCUAUACUUCAUAUUAACAUUAUUAAUCUAGAACAAUAGAUGAACAUACUCUAUAAUAAACAACUUGUUGUA